rnacentral:rRNA from 1 species
GACGAACGCUGGCGGCGUGCCUAAUACAUGCAAGUCGAACGCUUCUUUCCUCCCGAGUGCUUGCACUCAAUUGGAAAGAGGAGUGGCGGACGGGUGAGUAACCCGUGGGUAACCUACCCAUCAGAGGGGGGUAACACUUGGAAACAGGUGCUAAUACCGCAUAACAGUUUAUGCCGCAUGGCAUAAGAGUGAUAGGCGCUUUCGGGUGUCGCUGAGGGAUGGACCCGCGGUGCAUUAGCUAGUUGGUGAGGUAACGGCUCACCAAGGCCACGAUGCAUAGCCGACCUGAGAGGGUGAUCGGCCACACUGGGACUGAGACACGGCCCAGACUCCUACGGGAGGCAGCAGUAGGGAAUCUUCGGCAAUGGACGAAAGUCUGACCGAGCAACGCCGCGUGAGUGAAGAAGGUUUUCGGAUCGUAAAACUCUGUCGUUAGAGAAGAACAAGGACGUUAGUAACUGAACGUCCCCUGACGGUAUCUAACCAGAAAGCCACGGCUAACUACGUG